rnacentral:rRNA from 1 species
GAUUAACGCUAGCGGCAGGCAUAAUACAUGCAAGUUGAACGGCAGCACAGGUAGCAAUACUGGGUGGCGAGUGGCGCACGGGUGCGUAACACGUAUGCAACCUACCCUAUACAGGCGAAUAACCUUUAGAAAUGAGGGCUAAUACGCCGUAGUAUUACAGAUGGGCAUCUAUUUGUAAUUAAAGAUUUAUCGGUAUAGGAUGGGCAUGCGUCCCAUUAGUUAGUUGGUAAGGUAACGGCUUACCAAGACGAUGAUGGGUAGGGGAUCGGAGAGGACUUACCCCCACACUGGUACUGAGACACGGACCAGACUCCUACGGGAGGCAGCAGUAAGGAAUAUUGGGCAAUGGCCGCGAGGCUGACCCAGCCAUGCCGCGUGCAGGAAGACGGCCUUAUGGGUUGUAAACUGCUUUUAUACGGGAAUAAUAGAGUGUACGCGUACAUUUAUGCAAGUAUCGUAUGAAUAAGCAUCGGCUAACUCCGUG